rnacentral:rRNA from 1 species
GACGAACGCUGGCGGUGUGCUUAACACAUGCAAGUGGAGCGACGAACCAGGGCUUGCCCUGGGGCAGAGCCGCGAACGGGUGAGUAACACGUGGGUAACGUACCCCGAUGACUGGGACAACCCGAGGAAACUCGGGCUAAUACCGGAUAUGUCCCGACUUUCACGAGGAAGUCGAGCAAAGGAAGCUUCGGCCUCCGCAUCGGGAGCGGCCCGCGGCCCAUUAGCUAGUUGGUGGGGUAAUGGCCUACAAGGCUGCGAUGGGUAGCGUGGUCUGAGAGGACGAUCAGCCACACUGGGACUGAGACACGGCCAGACUCCUACGGGAGGCAGCAGUGGGGAAUCUUGCG